rnacentral:rRNA from 1 species
UAAAGGAAGCGAUUCCGGCUACGGAUGGUCAUGCGUCGCAUUAGCUUGUUGGCGGGGUAACGGCCCACCAAGGCGACGAUGCGUAGGGGUUCUGAGAGGAAGGUCCCCCACACUGGUACUGAGACACGGACCAGACUCCUACGGGAGGCAGCAGUGAGGAAUAUUGGUCAAUGGCCGCAGGGCUGAACCAGCCAAGUCGCGUGAGGGAUGACGGUCCUAUGGAUUGUAAACCUCUUUUGUCAGGGAGCAAAGGGCGCCACGUGUGGCGUUUUGCGAGUACCUGAAGAAAAAGCAUCGGCUAACUCCGUGCCAGCAGCCGCGGUAAUACGGAGGAUGCGAGCGUUAUCCGGAUUUAUUGGGUUUAAAGGGUGCGCAGGCGGAAUGUCAAGUCAGCGGUAAAAUUUCGGGGCUCAACCCCGUCGUGCCGUUGAAACUGGCGUUCUUGAGUGAGCGAGAAGUAUGCGGAAUGCGUGGUGUAGCGGUGAAAUGCAUAGAUAUCACGCAGAACUCCGAUUGCGAAGGCAGCAUACCGGCGCUCAACUGACGCUCAUGCACGAAAGCGUGGGUAUCGAACAGGAUUAGAUACCCUGGUAGUCCACGCAGUAAACGAUGAAUACUAACUGUCCGGGCCGAUUGAGGUCUGG